rnacentral:rRNA from 1 species
UACGUAGGGGGCGAGCGUUGUCCGGAUUUAUUGGGCGUAAAGAGCUCGUAGGCCGUUCGGUAAGUCAGAUGUGAAAACUCCAGGCUCAACUUGGAGAGGCCAUCUGAUACUGCCGUGACUAGAGUCCGGUAGGGGAGCACGGAAUUCCUGGUGUAGCGGUGAAAUGCGCAGAUAUCAGGAGGAACACCAGCGGCGAAGGCGGUGCUCUGGGCCGGAACUGACGCUGAGGAGCGAAAGCGUGGGGAGCGAACAGG